rnacentral:sRNA from 1 species
UUAAUAUAUCGGUAGGUGAGGUUACCUUAGGGAUACGGGUUGAUGCCGCGAAAUAGUGGAGACACUAUUAGCUGGUUAGCAGGAUACAUCGAAAGUGAAGGUGUAUUUUAAUUCAAUAUCAUGCCCUAAGAAGCUAAAGCUUGAACGAGAGAAUAUAUACU